rnacentral:rRNA from 1 species
ACGGGAGGCAGCAGUAGGGAAUUUUCGGCAAUGGAGGAAACUCUGACCGAGCAACGCCGCGUGAAUGAAGACGUAUUUCGGUAUGUAAAAUUCUUUUAUUAGGGAAGAAUGGUCUGUGGAAAAACAGAAUUGACGGUACCUAAUGAAUAAGCCCCGGCUAACUAUGUGCCAGCAGCCGCGGUAAUACAUAGGGGGCAAGCGUUAUCCGGAAUUAUUGGGCGUAAAGGGUGCGUAGGCGGCCAUUUAAGUCCUUGGUGUAAGUGCAGCGCUCAACGCUGUGAUGCUAAGGAAACUGGAUGGCUUGAGUGAGAUAGAGGCAAGUGGAAUUCCAUGUGUAGCGGUAAAAUGCGUAAAUAUAUGGAGGAACACCAGUGGCGAAGGCGGCUUGCUGGGUCUUCACUGACGCUGAGGCACGAAAGCGUGGGGAGCGAACAGGAUUAGAUACCCUGGUAGUCCACGCCGUAAACGAUGAGUACUAAGUGUUGGAGAAAUUCAGCGCUGUAGUUAACGCAAUAAGUACUCCGCCUGAGUAGUACGUACGCAAGUAUGAAACUCAAAGGAAUUGACGG